GACUUGUUCAGCAACGGUAAGGAACUCCCUGACAAGCGGGUUGUGCUGCACGCUCCAUCCCAGCACCUCCUGCAGUGCCGGGGGCAGCGUGUUGACGCGGCGUGUGGAGUUGCGUGCCCAAUCCAGGACCAGCGCUUCCAUGCAAUGCUGCUGCCGAAGCUUGCCGGCAACAAAUCCAAAGGCCGCUGAAAAGAAGCCAAGUCCAACAUCCACUAGGCCUAUCCGCAGUUGGUCAAUGGCGUCCAAGGACACGAUGGCCUUGGUAUAGUCUGGUGGAUGGAAGACCAGAUACUCUGCUCGCUCAUUGCCACUGUUCGCUGGAUACAAUGGAGCACAGUGCGGACACAGGUGCCACAGGCCUUCGGGUGUUGUUGUGCUGCCGGCAUGCAAGCUGUUGUGGAAUGAGUAUGGCGCAAUGGCAGCACCGACUGGCUCGACAGUGGCCCAGCGCUGGAGGUCCUUGUGCAGGUCGGUGCUGGCGACACCGCACAUGGCGCACACCACAAGUGCACCGGCCAGCAGCAUGCUUGUGACAGCGCUCCAAGCCGCGAGCCGGUCAGAGAUGCCAAGUCUGUGGCCGGGGCCACUGCGCCAGGAUGCUCCGAAGUACCCAGGAAUGUGUUGCUCAGCAUCUGUUACAGCAGGACUGGGCAAUGGUCCGUCAGAUGGUCGAUGGUGCUGCUGGCGUGUUGGCUGUGCAGCGGCCCGGCUGCGCUGCUGUGGCUGGUGCUGCUGCUGACGCCUUUGCUGCUGCUCCUGCCGCUGCCGCUGCGGGGGCUGCUGCUGCAGCGGUGAGUGUUGCGCUGACUGCCGUGUGACUGCAAGCAGCUGCCGCACCUGAACCGCUGGUUCAUGCUGAUCAGCCCAUUCCGCCAACACCUGCUGCACAGUGACCUCAAAGCGGCUGUCCAUCGCCUGCAGGACAGCACACACUUGACCAGCCCGCUCGGCGGACGGUGUUUCUGACAUGCAGAGGCCAACUGCGCGACAAGCCGCGACAAGAUGCUGGCGGCGUUGCCCUGUCCACACACCCGGCACCAUGUCCAGCAGGCGGUAAGGCAUGGGCGCACCAGCAAGGCCCGCCUGCCGGAUGAGGCACACUUCUGUUGGCGCAGAGCUGGAGCCCCAGUAGCAGAUCUGCAGCCCAGCCGGGUCAAACACUGUGAUCGCAAUGUUGAAGGCAUGGGCAAGAACCGCCAGCUCCACGUCGCCUGGCAGCAGCCGGUGCUGCUGUAGGGCUUCACCGUAUUGCGUCGCCGUGCAAGUGCUGGGGAGGCUGCUGGCAUGGGCGUGUAGCACUUGAAAGCGCAUUGACUCCCAAGACUCGGCAAUGGCGGCCACCACGGUCGCCAGCAGAAUUUCAGGCGCAGGCACAUCAGUGGCGCCCGCGGCAAUGAGACCAUAUCGCACGCAGUCCAAACACGUUGCGUGGGCAUCGAGCGGCACGACAGCACAGUUGCUUAUGUCGCUGCGAGCAUAUAGGGGCACGCGGAGUUGGCCUGCAUAGCAAGCAUCAGCAGGGAGCCACGUUAUCAACCUUAUGCGUGGGACAUGGAUGNNNNNNNNNNNNNNNNNNNNNNNNNNNNNNNNNNNNNNNNNNNNNNNNNNUGGCAGACACUUCAUCGGUUGUAAGCGUGAGGAAGAACGACGGCAUGCCAAAGUGGUCCACCAUGCACAACAAAUCUUGGAGGUUGCUGCGGUGCCAUGCAGGCGUGUUGGGCAACGUUGCCGGCAGCUUGUGCUUGAGAAUGUGAUGGAUGGCAUCCUCAUCACUCGCGUUAGGGUUCUGAGACUUGUAGUCGAGGAGCACCCUUUCCAGCACAGCCUGUACAUGCAGGCGGGCAUGAUGGUCAUGUCCUGAAGUUGUACAUGCAUGUUCCUGCUUGGCAUCGGCGGGAUCCGUGUCCAACAUCCCAGCAUGCAUCGUUUGCAGCAUCACUAGCAUGCUCGCUAUGCACUCACCUCUGUAUUCUGCUCUUGCAGCCGGGCGCUUUGGCGAAGAACAUACAUGAGCAGCAAGUACGGCUUGCACAAUGUCCACACACUGAAGAGGCACUUGGCACGGUAUGCCAAGUACUUGACCAAGGUCAUGCCGCCCAUAAAUGCGCCAACACCAAGGGGAAACAGAUAGGGGAACAUGGCCAUCUCCGCAGACAGGCCAAACUGAUAGUCCAGUGGGGUCCCGUCCGCAGCAACAGCCAGGUUGAGCUCGGGCAGAGUGGGCGACCGCGGAACCAAUGUUCCCGCGGUGUACAUCACGGGUGCAUGCUUCAUGGCUGCACGCUGGAUGGCAGGCACAACCACCGAUAUGAGCGAGCGAGCUGCCUCUGCUGCUUCCAGGGUGGCCAGGGCAAGUGGUUUGCAGGCUUGCUCACUGGCGACAAACGACUGCACAUCAGCUGGACAAAGGUAUGGCAAUGGGUGAUUGGGUGGGACUUGUUCAGCAACGGUAAGGAACUCCCUGACAAGCGGGUUGUGCUGCACGCUCCAUCCCAGCACCUCCUGCAGUGCCGGGGGCAGCGUGUUGACGCGGCGUGUGGAGUCGCGUGCCCAAUCCAGGACCAGCGCUUCCAUGCAAUGCUGCUGCCGAAGCUUGCCGGCAACAAAUCCAAAGGCCGCUGAAAAGAAGCCAAGUCCAACAUCCACUAGGCCUAUCCGCAGUUGGUCAAUGGCGUCCAAGGACACGAUGGCCUUGGUAUAGUCUGGUGGAUGGAAGACCAGAUACUCUGCUCGCUCAUUGCCACUGUUCGCUGGAUACAAUGGAGCACAGUGCGGACACAGGUGCCACAGGCCUUCGGGUGUUGUUGUGCUGCCGGCAUGCAAGCUGUUGUG
rnacentral:lncRNA from 1 species